rnacentral:lncRNA from 10 species
GCGGGGACUCGCUGGACGUGCACCAAUUCCGUCUCUUCUGCCUGGGCACACGGGAGACCACAUCUCCCAUCCCCCUCUGCAGAGAACGUGGAGGCUGUGAAGCAGGAUUCCGAGCAGGACCUCAGCGAGGCCACUGUCACAGGACGGAAGCAUCAGGGAGCCCGAGUCAUUCCUUGGAGGGCAGCCGUCCAGGAGAGGCACCUGAGGGCAUCAGUCUGUGACGUGAGUCAGAAGCGAACUCACUGCUUUACACCUCCAGGGCUCUGGGAGUUACCAUGGCAGAUAUGUGAAGAGUAAAAUGAGAGACUGCCACACAGACUCCCAGAUUCAAACAUCUACAGAAGCCAGGCCUGUGGUUUAAAUAAAUGAAGUGCACCAGAUGUGAGGUAACUGGGUGUGGUGGGGACUGUGGCACACUGGAAAGCACAGCUUUGUCCAAAGGGGAUGCCCACUGCCCACCUCCAGCCAGUGUCUGCUAGGCAGAAGGCCCAGCUUCAGCCAGAUCUUCUGAUUUAUCAAGAAAAGCUGGAGAUCUAGGGUUUAUUAUUUUUUAAGAGCAAAAAUAUACUUUAUUGUAAGCAAUACCAUGUAUCUGCUCAGGUGGGGUCUCCUUACUUCGCUCCCAUCCACUCUCUGAAGGUUUGGGAGACUUUUCCAAAGUAUUUCAGAAACUCUAUUAGGAUCUUUUCUCAAUUGGUCUCCCACUUUGGGCAGAGAUCUGUGGAUAUCCUUGG